rnacentral:rRNA from 1 species
AACGACUCUCGGCAACGGAUAUCUCGGCUCUCGCAUCGAUGAAGAACGCAGCAAAAUGCGAUACUUGGUGUGAAUUGCAGAAUCCCGUGAAUCAUCGAGUUUUUGAACGCAAGUUGCGCCCGAAGCCUCUCGGCCGAGGGCACGCCUGCCUGGGUGUCACGC